AACGAACGCUGGCGGCAUGCCUAACACAUGCAAGUCGAACGAGACCUUCGGGUCUAGUGGCCCGAGGGUGCGUAACGCGUGGGAACCUUCCCUUAGGUUCGGAAUAAACCCCCGAAAGGGGUUCUAAUACCGGAUAAUGUCUUGGGACCAAAGAUUUAUCGCCUUUGGAUGGGCCCGCGUUGGUUUAUCUAGUGGGUAGGGUAAAAUACUACCAAGGCGACGAUCCAUAGCUGGUCUGAGAGGAUGAUCAGCCACACUGGGACUGAGACACGGCCCAGACUCCUACGGGAGGCAGCAGUGGGGAAUAUUGGAAAAUGGGAGAGAGCGUGAUCCAGAAAUGCCGCGUGAGUGAUGAAGGCAUUAGGGUUGUAAAGCUCUUUUACCCGGGAUGAUAAUGACAGUACCGGGAGAAUAAGCUCCGGCUAACUCCGUG
rnacentral:rRNA from 1 species